rnacentral:rRNA from 1 species
CCUACGGGAGGCAGCAGUGGGGAAUAUUGGGCAAUGGGCGCAAGCCUGACCCAGCAACGCAGCGUGAAGGAAGAAGGCUUUCGGGUUGGAAACUUCUUUUCUCAGGGACGAAACGAGUGACGGUACCAGAGGAAUAAGCCACGGCUAACUACGUGCCAGCAGCCGCGGUAAUACGGAGGUGGCAAGCGUUAUCCGGAUUUACGGGGUGUAAAGGGCGUGUAGGCGGGGACGGAAGGCAGAUGUGAAAUCCACGGGCUCAACCUGUGGCCUGCAUUUGAAACUGUGUUGCUUGAGUACUGGGGAGGCAGACGGAAUUCGUAGUGUAGCGUUGAAAUGCGUAGAUAUUAGGAGGAACCCCAGUGGCGAAGGCGGUCUGCUGGACAGCAACUGACGCUGAGGCGCGAAAGCGUGGGGAGCAAACAGGAUUAGAUACCCGAGUAGUC